UAUCAUCAGCAUUCAGCUGUGAGCAAUCUUGAGGCACUUCUGAAUCCAACAGAGAAGGAGAAUUUUUCUCUCUCAUUCCCCCUCAACACCAAAUGAACCAGUUGGGAAGUCGCUGCUUCAGUGUGACUGAGGAGGCCCCAUUGCCUGAGAUCCAAGCGCCGCUUAUCCUUUCCCUGAUAACGCCUGAAGAUGGGACCUUUUUUCUUUCUGCUCUACGGAACAAAAAGCCAACAGAGCCUGUGACAACUCAGCCGACUCGUGGGGUUGGCCUGUCCACUGUCGCAACAGUCAUACAGACCGGAGGAGAUUGGACCACUGGCCUCUUUGGUAUCUGCAGUGACAAGAGUGUUUACUUGAGUCCCCCUUCCAACCAACCGGAUAAUGGUGUCUGUGGGGCCUUGUGUAGUUCGUGUCUAGAAUGCAGCCUUGCAAGGCACUAUGGGGAGUGCCUCUGUUUCCCACUGCUGCCAGGUUCCACCUUAGCGAUGAGAGUCGGCGCCAGAGAGAAAUACAAGAUACGACUAAGGUUUGAACAGGGUCCUCUAGCCAAACUCCUUUGUGAUCUGCGAAUCUGUUGUUCAGAUGCCUUAAUGCAUUUUUAAAGCAGAAAUAAUGCAUUAAACCUCAAGAAUGCCCUUUGUCUUUGCACGGAGGCAAAGGCAGCAUUUGAUUUAUAAUAGAAUGCCAACUCCAAGCAACUACUCGUGCUUUUUAAAGUACUUUGGAAGAACAGAACUGUGGGGCUAGGGAACCCUGUGUGAAGACUGGAUGGCAGUUCAUUGUUGCUGGCCUUUUGCUGUUUGCCAAGUGGCCCGAGAGCUGAAGAGGAGGGCUACGACCCAGAUCUAUGAAAUAAACACUGCUCCUACAGCUAAAGAUACCCG